CUCUCACCAGGUCUUCCGGGUUUCUGCCGAGCUCGGUCUUUGGCCGCUGGUUGCGGGCUCGGGCAGCUUCUCCCGGUCUCUCGGGCCUUCUGUCCGCCCAACCUUGCCCUUUAGCACCGCGAUCACGUGGAACGCUGGUGUUCCGGACCCCGUGGCAAUGCUUAUGUUAUGGCAACGCUGAAGAGCAAGGCUCAGUUGAGAGGAGGGAAACCAGAUUGCUGCAGAUACAUGCCGGGCCUCAGAGUGACCCCCAUGGCAAGUUUCCCAGCGGGAAACAGGAGUUCCACAUGCUUACACAUCCAAAGUUUUCGCGCACAUAUUCUGGGGAGGUGUAAAAGUGUACAGACGCGGUCCUUUUCUCAAUAUUCGCAAUAAGCCAAUGGAUAAAAUGUUUCUGGACAUACUGAGUAUAGGAGGAAAUAGACGUUUCAAUCCCAGAUGAUACGAAAGGGGUUUAAUUUAUUAAAUGUUUCUUUAGUAGGAAAGUCUUUGUGUUUGUUUCGCUAUAGUCUGGACAAACAUCUACCAGCCACCGAGCCCUAUUCCCAGCUCUUCUGCUCAGCUCUUUCUGUUAGUAUCGUGUGUGGGCACAAGCCACGCUGCUUCUUUCCUUCCACAUUUCUGUGAGUUCCAGAAACCAAGCUCAGGUCACCAGGUCUAUGUGGCAAUCCUAUUAACCACGGAGCCCUCUCACCGACUCUUUAUACAAUUAUUUAUAGACGAUAAAAAUGCAUAUGUCCUGAUAUGAAAAGGAGUCUACAUGAAAGAAUAGGAAGCUGCAAGGCUGGGAUAUGAUGAAAUGAGAGAGUCCUUGCCUAACAUGCAGAAAGCCCUGGGUUCAGUCCCCUCCCUGGACCAGAUAAUAAAAAUGUGUAUGUUUUAUAUAAUGAAAGCCCACAUAAGUAUCCACUGAUGUGUCUGUUUUCAUACCAUACAUCUGGAAGGACAUUUACCAGAGCACUUUAGGGCUUGAGAUGAAGAUGUAGGAGAAGAAAAGAAUUUUCAUUUUCCUUGUAUCCACUUUGUACGAUUUGAAGGUUUUGAACUGUCUUAUUUUUGCUGCUAGUGUGUACUUUUAUUUUGCCCUUUUCGUACUUUUAUUUUUUUUGACACUGUUGGCCACACUCCGUCCCCCUGACCAAACUUUGGGUCCUCUGUCUCUCCUAAGUACUCCUCCCCUACAGCGUUCUUAUGUCUAAUGGUCUAUUUCUUCCGAGUAUUGAAAGUCCUUGUGUGAUCUGAGGGGGUUAUGCGUGGUCUAGCUGUUGGGAAAGCAAAGGGCAGGGUACAGGAAGGAGAAAGGAGAAGUGGGCUAGACAAGGGAGCAGCAGGUCCUGAUGUAAACUGAGCCCCGGGGCAGGGUUCCCGCACUGCCAUCUAACUAGGGCGAAGGAACAAGAUAGAGACUUAUUACGUAAGCAAGCAGGAGCAGUGAGUUCACUGAUUCCAUCUAGGGGAACAUUACACUAAUGUCCCUUUUCUGUGCCUUAUUAGCUCAGCUCUCCUGUGUGGGUGGGACAGAUGGAAGAGGCAGGGACCUUCUAAAGGGGAAGCAGUGCAGGUAUUCUUGUGAAUGUAAGAGAAUUCAAGAUCUUGCUGUUUAAAGUCUAAAAAAUUCAGAAAAAUAUCAAAAUAUGCACACACACACACACACACACACACACACACACACACACACGGAUUGGGGGUAGGACAAAUGAACAGGUGUACUGUGAGCAGUACAGGUAUUCAAGGAUCAUCACUCAAGGACCCAGAUUCCUCCAUUUCCCACUACUGUCACCUAACGGCACCAAAGUUGGGUUGUGAUCAUGUUUAGCGUUCAAACCCAUGGAAAGGGAAAGAGCACUUUCAAGGUAAAUGACUUAUCUUUAAGGCACAGAAGAUCAGAGCUCCUCCAAGCAGGCAGAUUUCAGCCUCCAAUGUGUCCUUAUAGAUUAUGAAAGCAAUCUGCGUCUUUUAAAACUAAAUUGUAGUAAAUGAGUAAGUGGAAAGUUAAAAUCCGUCACCCCCCCCACACACAACAGUGUUACCCAGCUGGAAAAACUGAAUGAAGCUUCGUGAAUGAUGAGUAAGGAAUAGAUUAGGCCUCAUUGUUGUGAUAUUUUGUUUGUGUUCUGAAAAAUAAACCUUGCCAGGAAAUCAGAGGGCAGAACAAGCCACUAGUUAACCAUAGAGACCAGGCAAUGGUGGCAUACACUUUUAA